CCUACGGGUGGCAGCAGUGAGGAAUAUUGGUCAAUGGACGCAAGUCUGAACCAGCCAUGCCGCGUGCAGGAAGACGGCUCUAUGAGUUGUAAACUGCUUUUGUACGAGGGUAAACGCAGAUACGUGUAUCUGUUUGAAAGUAUCGUACGAAUAAGGAUCGGCUAACUCCGUGCCAGCAGCCGCGGUAAUACGGAGGAUUCAAGCGUUAUCCGGAUUUAUUGGGUUUAAAGGGUGCGUAGGCGGUCGGAUAAGUUAGAGGUGAAAUCCCGAGGCUCAACUUCGGAAUUGCCUCUGAUACUGUUCGGCUAGAGAGUAGUUGCGGUAGGCGGAAUGUAUGGUGUAGCGGUGAAAUGCUUAGAGAUCAUACAGAACACCGAUUGCGAAGGCAGCUUACCAAGCUACUUCUGACGUUGAGGCACGAAAGCGUGGGGAGCGAACAGGAUUAGAUACCCGUGUAGUC
rnacentral:rRNA from 1 species